GAUGAACGCUGGCGGCGUGCUUAAUACAUGCAAGUCGGACGGAGUGUUAGCAAUAGCACUUAGUGGCGAACGGGUGAGUAACGCGUUGGUGACCUGCCCUAGAUCGUGGGAUAACAGAUCGAAAGGUCUGCUAAUACCGCAUGAAGUUACAGGCGUUAGAGAACUGUAACGAAAGGCGAAAGUCGAUAUAGGAGGGACCUGCGUCCCAUCAGCUAGUUGGUGAGGUAACGGCCCACCAAGGCGAAGACGGGUAGGGGGCCUGAGAGGGUGACCCCCCACACUGGCGACU
rnacentral:rRNA from 1 species